ensembl:lncRNA
CUGGAUUAGAUAGUAGUGUCCUAAUUGAUAAUGAAGGGUUUGAACUAACAAAUGAGUCUUGUUUGGAGGGAGCCUUGCUGUGGAGCAUGUUAGGGGAGGAGAUGAAGUCAGUGAGUGCUCGGGCUCUAGACUGAAAGGGACUUGACUCUGAACCCAGUCCUGAAGCCUUAGUGGUGGCAGAAGGAAACCAUGAGAAAAUCUGCUUUCUGAAAAAUCAUGUCUUGACUCACACAGUGUUUCUGAGGGAAAGCAGUGGAGCCUGCAGGUGGGUACAUUUAAUAAAGGAACUUUGCAUUCACAAGUGCCUUUGACCUAUGAUUCAU